rnacentral:rRNA from 1 species
UACAGAGGGUGCGAGCGUUGUUCGGAAUUAUUGGGCGUAAAGGGCGCGUAGGCGGCGCCACAAGUCACCUGUGAAAACUCUGGGCUCAACCCAGAGCCUGCAGGCGAAACUGUGGUGCUGGAGUAUGGGAGAGGUGCGUGGAAUUUCCGGUGUAGCGGUGAAAUGCGUAGAUAUCGGAAGGAACACCUGUGGCGAAAGCGGCUCACUGGACCAUAACUGACGCUGAUGCACGAAAGCUAGGGGAGCAAACAGG